rnacentral:rRNA from 1 species
GGGGAAUAUUGGACAAUGGGCGCAAGCCUGAUCCAGCCAUGCCGCGUGAGUGAUGAAGGCCUUAGGGUUGUAAAGCUCUUUCACCGGAGAAGAUAAUGACGGUAUCCGGAGAAGAAGCCCCGGCUAACUUCGUGCCAGCAGCCGCGGUAAUACGAAGGGGGCUAGCGUUGUUCGGAAUUACUGGGCGUAAAGCGCACGUAGGCGGACAUUUAAGUCAGGGGUGAAAUCCCGGGGCUCAACCCCGGAACUGCCUUUGAUACUGGAUGUCUUGAGUGUGGAAGAGGUAAGUGGAAUUGCGAGUGUAGAGGUGAAAUUCGUAGAUAUUCGCAGGAACACCAGUGGCGAAGGCGGCUUACUGGUCCAUUACUGACGCUGAGGUGCGAAAGCGUGGGGAGCAAAC